AUUAAAAUGAAUCAUUGUAAAGAGAUGCUCAAGAGGAAGAAGAUAUAGCCGUUUAGAGAGAGAGAUUGAUCUUGGCUUGAACGAAAAAAAAUUAACAUCUUCCAUGGAUGAAGACUCCUAUUAGCUGAUGUUUAAUGGUUUCUUUGAGAAAAGCAGAGCAGAGACUUAGUUUAGUGUUCUUCUCAGAGGAAUGCAUAUAUUGACACAUACAUACAUUCAUAUGCACACAUACAUACAUACAUACAUUCUAAGAGCUCACAUCAAGAUCAGUGGUUAUUGCCACUUCUAAUUGCGGUAGUCAUGGCAGAUCAAGGUCAGAUGUUUGUGAAAGAGACAUCUUGUGACAGCUGUACUACUGGGUGUGAUGACUCCACUAUCAAGUCUUCUCAUGGGAAAGCAUCAUACGGGGCUUCACCUAGGAAAAGAAUUAUCAACUUUUUCUUAAAAUUCAGCACCUGAGACCGAGCUUGCGUUGCUGUCAGAUCAAGCUGUUCACCUUGUAGAAGGUCUGGAAUUAGAUAAACUGAACGAGAAGUUUUUACCAAUCAAAGACACUCAUCAGGUCGGUUAUGUUCAAGAGGCCACCACACACAAUGUCUUUUUUUGUUUUCUGUGUCCUGACCUAUAAAAAGCACAAGUACAUUCAAUGAGUCUGCAUUCUAGCCAAAGACAAGGCGAUACGACACACCAUUUAAUCCGUCCUCUUCGGUGUCUCAAGUAGUCUAGGUAUCUUUUCUCAGGGCUUACAUCACAGUCAUGAGAUCCAAUUUUGCAGGAGCAGUUGGCAAUACGACAAAAAUGGAAUAUGCCUAAGGAGGAACUGGGGUCAAAGCCAGUAUUGAUGACAUGCUGCCACUUGCUUGACUUUUGAUAAAUCAGAAUCUCCUAGGCUGACUUGAAAGAGACUGUAGUGGACUUUUGGGGUUGGGAAGAACACAAACGGCUGCAACACUUCUUCAUUCUAUAUUCCGCGAGAAAACAUCUGGUGCAUCCGCAUAUGGUGUCAUAAAAUCCUUGAAAAGAAAAUAUUCAGCGCCAUUCAGAAAGG